rnacentral:rRNA from 1 species
AAAAACAUGUCUUUUUGAUUAAUAUUUAAAGUCGGGCCUGCCCAAUGAUAGUUUAAAUGGCCGCAGUAUUUUGACUGUGCAAAGGUAGCAUAAUCAUUAGUUUCUUAAUUAGGAGCUGGAAUGAAGGGUUUAAUGAGAUACAAGCUGUCUCUAUUUAAUUUUUAUUGAAUUUUAUUUUUGAGUAAGAAAGCUUAAAUUUUAUAUAAAGACGAGAAGACCCUAUAGAGUUUUAUAUUUAUUUUUUCAGGUUUAUUGGAAGUUUUUAUUUGUUUGGGAUUUUAUUUAUUUUGUUGGGGUGAUAUAAAAAUUUGUAUAACUUUUUAUUAUUUUUACGUUGAUUGGCGAGUUUUUGAUCCUUUUGUUGGAUUAUAAGAUUAAAUUACCUUAGGGAUAACAGCGUAAUUUUUCCUUAGAGUUCUUAUUGACGGGAAAGUUUGCGACCUCGAUGUUGGAUUAAAAUUAACUUUUGGUGUAGCAGCUAAUUGGUUAGGUCUGUUCGACCUUUAAAAUUUUACAUGAUCU